rnacentral:rRNA from 1 species
UACGUAGGUGGCAAGCGUUGUUCGGAAUUAUUGGGCGUAAAGGGCGCGUAGGCGGUUUGUUAAGUCGGUUGCGAAAGCCCGGGGCUCAACCCCGGAGGGUCAACCGAUACUGGCAGGCUAGAGUACAGAAGAGGUAGCUGGAAUUCCCGGUGUAGCGGUGAAAUGCGUAGAUAUCGUAAGGAAGACCAGUGGCGAAGGCGGGUCUCUGGACAGUUCCUGACGCUGAGGCACGAAGGCCAGGGGAGCAAACGGG